GAUCCUAGCUCAAGACGAACGCUGGCGGCGUGCCUAACACAUGCAAGUCGAGCGGAGACAGUGAGUAGCUUGCUAUGAGCUGUUUUAGCGGCGGACGGGUGAGUAACGCGUGAGCAACCUUUCCCAGACAGGGGAAUAACACACCGAAAGGUGUACUAAUACCGCAUAAGACCACGGAAUCACAUGGUUCUGGGGUAAAAGAAUUAUCGGUUUGGGGUGGGCUCGCGUCCGAUUAGGUAGUUGGUGAGGUAACGG
rnacentral:rRNA from 1 species